rnacentral:rRNA from 1 species
AGUGAAUAGAUACCCAGGUAGUCCUAGCCGUAAACGAUACUCGCUAGGUGUCGGCCACGGUGCGACCGUUGUCGGUGCCGUAGGGAAAGCCGUGAAGCGAGCCACCUGGGAAGUACGGCCGCAAGGCUGAAACUUAAAGGAAUUGGCGGGGGAGCACCACAACGGGUGGAGCUUGCGGUUUAAAUUGGAUUCAACGCCGGAAAUCUUACCGGGACCGACAGGGAUAUGAAGGCCAGGCUGAAGACUUUGCCGGAUUAGCUGAGAGGUGGUGCAUGGCCGUCGUCAGUUCGUACUGUGAAAGCAUCCUGUUAAGUCAGGCAACGAGCGAGACCCACGCCCACAGUUGCCAGCGUACUCUCCGGAGUGACGGGUACACUGUGGGGACCGCCGCUGCUAAAGCGGAGGAAGGAAUGGGCAACGGUAGGUCAGUAUGCCCCGAAUAUCCCGGGCUACACGCGAGCUACAAUGGUUGGUACAAUGGGUAUCUACCCCGAAAGGGGAUGGAAAUCUCCUAAAUCCAAUCUUAGUUCGGAUUGAGGGCUGCAACUCGCCCUC